AGAGGACAGGGAGAAAGAGAGAGGGGUGGACCCUGCUGGAUGGAGAUUCUGUUUUCUCCUUGCUAAAAUAGAAGUGAUUUGCAGGCUUUCCCUAUGGAAUCCAGUUUGACUCUCCCCAGAGCUAAACACAGGCACACUAACCCCAAAGGGAGGAGGCGGGGCUCAAGCCUCAAAGCCCCGCCCCUUCUUUGCAUAACGUCAUUCUUCCGCCUCGCCGCAGCCAAUCGCCGCUGAGGAUCUGUCUUGCUCACGGAGCCAGGCCACGCUCCCUCAUUAACAUCCUUCUCCUGGUGGCGCGGAGAAGCCGGGCAAAGUUCCUUGCAAAGUGGCGAGCGAGGGAGCGCUGAGCAAGGCGUCUGGGCUGGGGAGGAGUCGGGUCGACUGAAGCGGAAAAGGGGACAGAAGGAAGGAGAGGGGGGUAUCCUUUCCAGGGAUUUGAGCUGGAGAUCUGCAUCCCGGCUAUUGCUGUCCCUUAGCAUCCUUGCUGCGCCCUGGGCGCGCUCGAGGCAUACAGGCUUCGUUCUCCCAGGGCUGAUGCCACGUCCUGCUCCGCAGUCCUGGGACGUCGGGGGCAAAAGUGGAGGAGACAGGAGAGCCCAGACAGAAAAAGCAGGACGCGUGUCCCAGGUGCGGCACGAUCCAGAAAUCCAGAAGAGUCGCCCCGAAACCUGAAGUCUGAGGCGGGGGCGGGGAUGGACCGAGGCCCAUCAGCUGCCCGCAGGGAAAGGGAUGAGUCGGUGGCAACCCAGCGUCUGGGAAAGCCAGACCUGCCCCUGCGCAGCUCUGUGAGCGCCUGGGUUCCGCACUCCAGACGCGGACAAGAGCGGUCCAUCACCGGGUCCACCAGCCAGCAAAACCCUAACCCUUUCCCUCGGUGACCUCACCCUCAGCUCUUGGGGAACGCGUGGGAGCUGCAGGCCACAGUUCCACCGGAAAUCCGGACUCUGACCCCAGUUUCCGACUUCUGCGAUCUGCGGAGCCCCUUUGCUCACGCAGUCUGACACUACCAAUCUCAGGAGCGCACCUCCCACCGCAGUACAGGCGGGGGGACUGAGGCCUAGAGAAGGACAAAGGUGCCCACAGACAGGAGGUAGAGACACGUGGGAGAGCUUAGUUUGCUAGGAGCAGGAGCCUGGGGCAAGGGGUUCUGACAAAUCUCUCUCGGGUUUCCCCGGGGCCGGGGUGGGGUGGGGUGGGGCGUCCCAGAUAAUAAUAGAUAAUUUGUCGAAGACUUUACCAGCAUAAAUUCACUGAAUUUCCAUCACAGAUCAAGAAAACAGAUAAGGUCACUCCCAUUUUACAGGUGGGGAAACUGAGAAUCUAUGAGGAAAGUGUUAAAAAAAAAAAGUGUCCAAUACACUACACAGCUAGUACAGUUGCCCACCACAAUUCUCCAGGACCUGCGCUUUAACCUGGGAGCCAAACCAUUGGCAGAGUGAGUCUCCUACCCCAGAAUGCUCAUGGGUUCCUUGGCUUUCCUUCCCCAGGGUCUGGGUUCCGUAUUCAGGUCCACGAAAGAGAUCGCGCAAGCCCCCUCCCACGGUGGGGGGUCGGACUUACAGCAGAGGAGAGAAAGAGGGUGCUGGGGAGUUCCCAAGAAAAGUCCUAAAGAGUGAUCCGACUGAAUGCGCAUUCACGCUGUCAGCUACGACUAUGCUUCUCUCCCGGCCCUACAGGGACAGGGAGCACCUGGGGCAUCCAGCGCCAGCCCUUGACUGUUACAUUUACUUGGCCUCCAGUCGGUCGUUUGUCCCAGUCCUAGCUGAGGUCUUAGAGUUCAUACAAGCUUUCCCGAAAGAAACAAGCUAAACACAGGACUUUUGGGGGGGGACAUCGGUUCGUCUAUCAGAGGACGGAAAUCUAGACACCUGCGAAUGUGCUUUAAUUGGGGUAGAAGAUGAUUCUCCCUUGUCGUGACCAUACGUAGCUAAAAGUUCAAGUUAUUUUGAGUCCGGAGAAUACAGUUGGGGACACAGCCGGGAAUUAUCUCAUAGGUCCAAAGCUGUCAGAGAGCAUCCCGAAACUCACCCUUCGGCCCUUGUCCAUAGUCUAGGACCUUGAAAUCCCGCUUCCUCAAUAGAAGGCACUUCGGAGGUGGGAGAACAGAGCUUUCCAGCAGUUUGGAAAUUAGCAUCCCCUACAUAGCGCAAACUCUAGUAAAAGAAACUUGGGCCUGCGGAGUUUUGGAGAGGAACAGAGGAAUCGACCGGUUUAUUUACUUAGGAGAAGCGGGGGGUGGAGGAGGGAGGGCAAGUUUAGCAGGAGCGCUAGAGGUGACCGGGUGAAAAAAAAAAUUGCGCUCGUAUUUCCUUUGAGGCACAACUCCCUAGAUAUUUCCCAACACUGAGCGCUGUCCGCCUUUGCUAUCUUUGUUUGAGAGAUGCUUAUGAUUCGAGUGUGCAAAUACGUUCCCAACGAAGGGUGGCUGCAUAUUUUGUGGGUCUGUACAGUCCGUGUGUGUGUGCUGGGAAGUGACAGCGUGCACUUAGCUGUUUGCGUGCGCUUGUGCUGGAGGAGGUAGAGGUACACACAAGCAAGAGCACACAUGUAUGUGGAUAGUGUGUGCGUGUGUCACGAGUCUAACUUGUGUAAGUGCAGUGCGUAUGGACAGAAGUACUGUCUGUUGUGCAACAGCAUCAUACACAUGUGUAGAACCUGAGUUCGUACAUGAUUCGUGUGCACAUUUGUGCGUGUGAAACCUAGCAAAGAACUCCUAAAAACUUAAGCCCGGCCAGAAGAAAGUUUAGCAGGCUGAAUGCUGCUGACUGAGGGGCCAAGGGCAGGCUGGUCCCUUGGUUUUGCAGGUGCGGGGAACCUCCUGUGGAGCGCAGAACGCUCUCAGAGUCUGCAGGUUAGCGCCCAGCUCAGCUCUUGGCCGGCAAGGCCGGUCCCCCUGUCGGCCAGCAAUUAGGAGGACUGAGAUCGCAAUAGUCCCUGCUGGACAGUUCCGAGCUCUUGAUCAUUUCUUGAGGACAGUUUCUGGUUAUUGAUGCGGUGUGUCCUAAAAGAAACCGCUUUAGGAUUAUUCGCUUGUGUAUUUAUUCUGUUUAACACUGUUAUUAUUUGGUGCCCGCGGUGAAGACGGUGCUAAACCUACCAAGAAGUCUCGGCCCCACCUCGGUGCGCAACUCUGAGCGCGUGAGAGAUCUGCGAAUGCCAGAAUCUUCUCUUAUGAUGGAGCCAUAGCGCCACCUAGUGUCUCCUAGCGUCCCCCGCGUUACCGCCACGAAGGUUGGGACCUUCCUACCGCUGAUUUCCCAUUCACUUUCACUAUUUCUCUUCGAGUAAGCCUGCAAACACGCCUUGUGGCUGCCCCUUUGAACACCGCCAAAAUGCCCCUUUCUCCACCUGGCAAAGGGGAGAUGGAACUCAAAGGGCAUCUUUCAAACCCUUCUAAGGCUCAUGUCUGUCCCUAGUCCCUAAUACUCAUAUCACAUCGGACAAUAUUAUUUAAUAAAGAAAAUAUUGUUUUCUCUA